GGUGUCGAUGAUGAAGAGGUGGCUAACCAGAUCUUGAAUGAUCUUGAUUUUGAGUAUAAUCCUUUUGUGUCUUCUGUUCUUGGACGGGCUGAUCCAAUCCUGUUUGAUGAGCUUUAUGCUCAACUUUUGGCA
rnacentral:snoRNA from 1 species